UUUUAUACAUUUGCAUUAACGAAGAGGAAAAACAAGAAGUGGAUGGUUGUAGUUUGAUUCCUUGACAAUUGACAAGAGUUAUAAACUCCCAAUAGUACCAUUCGAUAAGAAUCUAACAAAAUUAAUGGUGCUCUUGUCUCUAGUGGGUAAUGACGUGGAACAUAUGCAAUGUUGAUUUUUGUUUUAUUUAUAGCAUGGUGCCCUUGUCUCUUGCUUCGAAUAUUUUAUUGGAUGAUCCUCAAAUCCCACCUUCUCCACGUUGAUGUGUUCUCCAGUACCGUCCCACUUAAGUGUCUUGCCAGAAUCAUUGCAAAGAUAACUUAGUAUAGAAAACUUAAGAUAUAAAAAUGUUGAUAGAAUUUAUGUUAGUAGCUUUACUUGUUGGCGUAUAUAUAUGACGUAAUAAACAUUAUUUUGGGAACUGAUAAAAAAUAUUCCUUAAUGGAGGUGCAUUUUUAUGGCUAAAAUAAGUCUAUUACAUUACAUAACUUCUACAUCUAGAAUGUUCUGCUUUUCACCGAAGCUUAUUUCUAGACAUUUCCUAGAAAAAUCUUGGACAAGACAAGACACAAAGUAAUUUUGGUUUUGCUAUCACAGGUUCUUGGAUAAAGCGGCUAUUAAGACAUGUUCGGGAGAGUCACCUUGUACGGUGACAAAAGUGGAAGUGGCAAAGCGUGUGCUAGGUCUUACCUUAAUAUGGCUUGUCACUUUAAUCCCAAGCACCUUAUGGGCACA
rnacentral:lncRNA from 1 species